GUCCUCUUGAUAGAGGAAAGACCACCAUUUUAAGGUGUCACAAAGCUGAUUAUGGAAAAGAAUGACUCAUUUGACUCUCAAAUUUUAAAAAGUGAGUCAUGCUUUUAUUUAUAAGGAGUAGGUGGGAAGAUAUGAGAACUCCUCAAGUCCCCUCAGACUUUAGGAAACCCAGAGUGAAAACAACCUUUAGUCAUCUGAUCUGAAUAAGUACUGACACUGUCCGUUUUUUCAUAAUGCUUCAUUCUUACUUCCAUUCUUACUUUGUGUUUUGUUAAUUUGGAAAUAAAGAGGGGAAAGAUGGGAAACUUUCUAGUAGUAAAAAUGGGAAAUAUUCUCAGUCACUAGGCACCCCUGUUUCAUGCUGUCUUGGACACAGAUUACACUCUGAUGAGGAGCUGCAUUCCAAGCCAUCUGUGAAUCCUCAAACUUGCACACCCACAGUGGAAAAUGGGUAUAAUUUGUCUCUAUAGCUGCUCAUAGGAUGUGCCAAACUUUUUUUCUCUUUCAGUUGCUUCUCUUCACUAUCUACAUCCAUCUUCAUCCUUAUUUUCUCUGAAUUUUUUGACCAGCAAGAAGAGGAAAGAAGCACCAUCUGUUCUUAAAAAGCUCUAAGUUUGGCUUCUACUGUUAAUCAGCAGCAAAUCGGAGUAGAGCACAGUCCUUGGUGUUCCUCAGUGUCUGUAACAGAAAAUUUGAGCAAGCCUAAAUGGAUGAGUGUUUUGUUUCUAAACUAAGUAUGGCAUGACUACUGUGGGAUUGUUGUUUCAUUACAUUACAGAUAUAUUGUUCAAAUCAUAUUUGUUUUUAAUCUCUGAGCACAUUGUUAAAUGUAACCCAACCAUAUCUGAACAUUUUUCAUUUUUACUGGUAUUUCAUUCUAAGCAUUUAUCUAGUUUAUAUGACUAACUAUGCUACCAAUAACUACUUCCCCCAGAGAGUAGUAUUAAAUGUUUUUGUUUGUUUGUUUGUUUGUUUUUCACGAAGAAAAUUACUGUAAAAAUGGAGAACUCUUUUCUUGCAUUGUGUCUCCCUGCCAGACUGGUCUGGAGUAAUGUGCAAUAGAGUUCACACUGUCUAAUUAUGAAACUUGUGUUUUAUUCUAAGACAACACUGCUAUUAAAACUCCACCUGUCCAGUAAGUGCAAUAAACAUAUUAGUGAGUUUAAUCCUCUCAAGCACUGGGAGUUCAUAACUCAACAGUGACCACAUGGAUCAUUAGAUGCAAAUGAGUCAAAAUAAUUCAGCAACGUGCAUGCCUUCAUCAUAUCUGGUGAAAAUUGCUGUUUGAAUGUGAGUCUGCUGAGUUUUGUGCUAUGUCAUUUGAAGACUGAAAAUACCUGUACCAUGAAAUGCACAUUCUUCCUUUUAAAAAAAUGGAGGAGGAAAUCUUUGCAGUGUUUUAUCAUAACUCAGUCUUAACUUCUGAUCCCCUGCUUUUACCACCACAGUGCAUUUUUUCUUCAAACCAAUACAAGUAAAAGUCACAGUCUAUCUCUUGUUUCUGAUGUUAUGACAAACUGCAGGGGAGGCCAAUUAUUCUGUCUUCUUUUAGUGAGUAGUAGCUGAAGAAGGAAUUUCACCCUAUGUGUUUUUUCACUGGAACCUCCAGAUGGUCUGGUGUUACAGUGCUGCAUCCGACGCACUGACAAAUAGGCUGUCAGGGAAGAUCUUUCCUGUAAUGUACACUGUGAAACUAAACCAUCUAUUUGUUGAUAUACAUUGUUUGAAGUGUGUGCAGUUUGCUGUGAUGCAUCCUGAGAAGGUGACAUGUCUUUGUCUAUAUGUGAGUUCAGUACUUGAUUGAAGUAAAAUUGAUGUUCCAUAUACUGAAUUGCCAAAUUAAGUUAUGUGCCAGAAAACAUCUGUUUUCUUUUAUAUAGUGA
rnacentral:lncRNA from 1 species